rnacentral:rRNA from 1 species
GCCUAACACAUGCAAGUCGCACGAGAAAGGGCUUCGGCCCCAGUAAAGUGGCGCACGGGUGCGUAACACGUAGGCAAUCUUCCCUUGGGCGGGGGAUAACGUUUCGAAAGAGACGCUAAUACCGCAUGAGACCACGGAUGCUUCGGCAACUGCGGUCAAAGCUGGCCUCUUCAUGAAAGCUAGCACCCAAGGACGAGCCUGCGGCCCAUCAUUGCUAGUUGGUAGGGUAACGGCCUACCAAGGCUAAGACGGGUAGCUGGUCUGAGAGGAUGAUCAGCCACACUGGCACUGAAACACGGGCCAGACUCCUACGGGAGGCAGCAGUGGGGAAUAUUGGACAAUGGGCGCAAGCCUGAUCCAGCGACGCCGCGUGAGUGAUGAAGGCCUUCGGGUUGUAAAGCUCUGUUGAGGGAGAAGAAAACGGCUGGCGUGAAUAACUCCAGUCCUUGACGGUAUCCCUUUAGAAAGCACCGGCUAACUCUGUGCCAGCAGCCGCGGUAAGACAGAGGGUGCAAACGUUGCUCGGAAUUACUGGGCGUAAAGCGCGUGUAGGCGGGCCUUCAAGUCGGACGUGAAAGCCCUGGGCUCAACCCAGGAACUGCAUCCGAAACUGGAGGCCUGGAGUGGUGGAGAGGGAAGCAGAAUUCCUGGUGUAGAGGUGAAAUUCGUAGAUAUCAGGAGGAACACCGGUGGCGAAGGCGGCUUCCUGGACACUUACUGACGCUGAGACGCGAAAGCGUGGGGAGCAAACAGGAUUAGAUACCCUGGUAGUCC